GAUGAACGCUGGCGGCGUGCCUAAUACAUGCAAGUCGAGCGAACAGACGAGGAGCUUGCUCCUCUGACGUUAGCGGCGGACGGGUGAGUAACACGUGGAUAACCUACCUAUAAGACUGGGAUAACUUCGGGAAACCGGAGCUAAUACCGGAUAAUAUAUUGAACCGCAUGGUUCAAUAGUGAAAGACGGUUUUGCUGUCACUUAUAGAUGGAUCCGCGCCGCAUUAGCUAGUUGGUAAGGUAACGGCUUACCAAGGCUACGAUGCAUAGCCGACCUGAGAGGGGGAUCGGCCACACUGGAACUGAGACACGGCCCACACGCCUACGGGAGGCAGCAGUAGGGAAUCUUCCGCAAUGGGCGAAAGCCUGACGGAACAACGCCGCGUGAGUGAUGGAGGUCUUCGGAUCGUAAAACUCUGUUAUUAGGGAAGAACAAAUGUGUAAGUAACUAUGCACGUCUUGACGGUACCUAAUCAGAAAGCCACGGCUAACUACGUG
rnacentral:rRNA from 1 species